UACGGGGGGGGCAAGCGUUGUUCGGAAUUACUGGGCGUAAAGGGCGCGUAGGUGGCGCGGUAAGCGUGCGGUGAAAGCCUGGGGCUCAACCCCGGGUCGGCCGUGCGAACUGCUGGGCUUGAGCACUGUAGAGGCAGGCGGAAUUCCGGGUGUAGCGGUGGAAUGCGUAGAGAUCCGGAAGAACACCGGUGGCGAAGGCGGCCUGCUGGGCAGUUGCUGACACUGAGGCGCGACAGCGUGGGGAGCAAACAGG
rnacentral:rRNA from 1 species